rnacentral:rRNA from 1 species
GCAACGCUGGCGGCGUCUUACACACUGCAGUUGAACGAUGAAAGCUGGAGCUUGCUCUAGCUGGAUUAGUGGCGAACGGGUGAGUAACACGUGAGCAAUCUGCCCUGGACUCUGGGAUAACCCCGAGAAAUCGGAGCUAAUACCGGAUACGACACCUCCCGGCAUCGGGUGGGUGUGGAAAGAAUUUCGGUCCAGGAUGAGCUCGCGGCCUAUCAGCUUGUUGGUGAGGUAACGGCUCACCAAGGCGACGACGGGUAGCCGGCCUGAGAGGGUGACCGGCCACACUGGGACUGAGACACGGCCCAGACUCCUACGGGAGGCAGCAGUGGGGAAUAUUGCACAAUGGGCGCAAGCCUGAUGCAGCAACGCCGCGUGGGGGACGACGGCCUUCGGGUUGUAAACCUCUUUUAGUAGGGAAGAAGCGCAAGUGACGGUACCUACAGAAAAAGCACCGGCUAACUACGUGCCAGCAGCCGCGGUAAUACGUAGGGUGCAAGCGUUGUCCGGAAUUAUUGGGCGU